rnacentral:rRNA from 1 species
UACGUAGGUGGCAAGCGAUACUCGGAAUCACUAGGCGUAAAGCGCAGGUAGGCGGUUUGGUAAGUCUUUUGUGAAAGCUCCCGGCUCAACUGGGAGAGGUCAAGGGAAACUACCGGACUAGAGUGUGGUAGGGGAUACUGGAAUUCCUGGUGUAGCGGUGAAAUGCGUAGAUAUCAGGAGGAAUACCUAUGGCGAAAGCAGGUAUCUGGGCCAUCACUGACUCUGAGCUGCGAAAGCUAGGGGAGCAAACAGG